rfam:Nicotiana attenuata strain TT scaffold03421, whole genome shotgun sequence.
AGAGAGAUGGUUGAGCGGUUGAUAGCCCCGGUCUUGAAAACCCGGUAUAGUUUUAACAAAGAACUAUCGAGGGUUCGAAUCCCUCUCUCUCCU